UUCAUGAUGACAAAGGACCUUGUCUGAACAUAAUGAUUUCUAAAUUUGAGCUUAAAUGACACUCUGAAAUCCAGUCAAUGUGCCUCAAUAGACUUUUCGGGGAACAUUAUUUUCAACAGAAAAUUUGACUUACUGUGAAAACUUUGAAUACUUAGAAAUGGCAGGUGUAGCCGUAUACAUUGCCAAUUCUUCUUUUUUAAAUUUUCAUAAGAUAUUCUGAGCUCAUUAUUUCCCCCCCCCUUUUUUUUUUUAAACAUAUAUGCUGUUGAAAGCAAAAAAGGAAACUCCUCCUUAGAUCCCGGAAGGCACACACAUAUGCUGAGAUGGAAGCAAGGACAUGUAAAAGGAGACUACCUCUUUGAUCAAACAUUGAAUGCCAGAGUUGGAGGUGUCUGAUGAUGUUCAGGAAAAAGGGGAACUAAUAUUUGUGGAACAUGUAUUAUGAAAUACAGUGAGUAUGGGGUGAGAGGAUCUCUCUUAAGUGAGAUGAUGAAGGCCCAAUAAGAGAGCAGUAUUUGAAAUCCAGUUCCAAGGAUGUGUUUGUUCUAGAUGUGAAUGUUGAUUAACGGCUUCAGGUAUUAACGCAGCAAAUCCAUCUGUGCCAAAACUUCAGAUUCUCUGUUCCAUCUGUCUGCCAGAGCAGUCUUUUGGAAAGAUAUGAAAAACCUCGUCACGUUGCUUCAAAAUCUGCAGUUGACAUGUUUCAAGAGCGUUAGAAAUAAGCAAUAAUCAGAGAAGAGGACAAAGAUUAUAUAGAUUGAUAAUAUUUAGAGCAUCUUUGCCACUGACAAAACUGGAAGUUUUCCACUUUUAGUCACUGAACAUUUGGAUUCAUAAAUUUUGUGACAUUCCUUUACUUUUAUCUCCUGAAUAAGAUGCUCCUGAUAAGAACCUGGAGAAAUUUGUACAGCAAGAAAAAAUGUGAUUAAAAUCCAGGAUGAUAUAGGAUAAUGUGCAAACCUUUUUUCCAUUAACAUGAACAGGAAAGGAUAGCCUGAUUCCCUCUGCAUUGAUAAAAUUGUAGUUUUCAAAUUCUUCUGGAGAAUCCUUUGCAAUUUUACUUAUGGACUGCUGUGGAAGUCUAAACCUGACGCUGAUUUAAGGGGUCAUUGACCAGGACCCUCCUGUAGAGACACUCUAGCUCUUAUACCCUAUUUAUUUCGUGGUCCAACAUGAUCAGCACAGCAUCCCUCAUUCCAAAUUAUUCCCAAAAAUGCAAGUGUGUGAAGAUAUCUACUGAACUGAAAAUUAUUUCAAGUGGAUGGCACUUGUAGUAUUGGUCUAGUGUGGACAAUCUCAAGUAAAUAUAAGCCAGCCUUCUAGAAAUAUGUGGAAAGAAGGGGAAGGACAACACAUCCUGAAUUCAGCUAGAAGCUUCACCAACUACAAAAAAUCACAGACAAAAUAAACAGAGAUAUAUACUGUCCUGAAAUUCAUCUCCCUUUCAAAUAUUUAUAUUUCAUUGGCAGUCUUUGCAUUUGGAAAAAAUAUCUCAAUAUUUUUCUUUGUAUAGUUAUCAACUUGCCAUCAAAAUAUUUACCAGUAGGAGCCCUGCAUAUGUGAUAUUUAUUGCCUAUGUGGUAAACACAAAUAUUAGUUUUCUUUUUUUUUCUUCCCCUACCUGCCAUUUUAAAACAGCUAGGAACCUAAUCUAUUAACUAAUUUACUGGACAUAUAUAGCUUAAGAAUUUAUUUAAAUACUUAAGAAAAUUGUGAUUGGGUAAUGAUACUGAAAUGGAAAUAUAAAAUACUCAGUAAAUGAUGACUAUGCAUGGACUGUUCAUUGGAUGUUUGGAGGUGAAGAGAAUGAAAUUCAACAUGUAAUAGUUUUUUAUUGUAUUUUAUUCUUAAUCUUUUUGGGAAUCUAAUGCUCAAGCAGAGAGGCCUACAUUUAUAAACAAAUCUAUUGUUUUUAGAUACUUUUAAAAAUGGUUUCUGUGAUAAUAGAGCUGGUUUUGUAGGGAAGUUUCUAAAAACAUGUUUGGUAAAACUGCCUUCUGGAAAAUAUUUUAGAAAAGAAUGGGCCAUUUUGCAAAGAUAUCCUCAAUUCUGUAUUUAUUGUUUGAGUGCUUAUGGAUAGUAAAGAGGAAAUGGGCAUGGGGAGUGUUUACUAUAUUAAUCAGGAAAAAAAUGUAAGACACUAGUUAUUUAUGUGCAUUUUGAGAAUAUUGUAUACGAAAUAACCAAAUAUAACUGCUUUGUGACCAUAAGGCAUUGUGAUUGCUAAGAAAGCGGUUGCUAACAUAUGCAGAAGAAAUAUUUUUAAUACAUGACUAUAGAAAUAGAAGUUACCUCUGAAUGAUGCACAUUUAAAAUCAUUUGAUUGGAUUAUUGCUAUGGCUUUUUGGGGGGGGGUUGGAGAUUGUUCUGUGUGCAGUUGUCACAUAAGAAAUUUCAUUAAGGCUGCUAUAUGUGGAUGUAGAUGUUACUCUGUAAACGUUCUUUAUGUUAAUAUUUGUAUGGUAUGAGAUUUAAUUCUCAUGAUGGAAUUGCUGCAUAAGAGGCCAGCCUCUGUGCAUGUUUGGGCUAGGAUUUGAUGGGCUUUUUUAUUUCUCUGCAUAUAAUAGAAAAAAGUACUGUGUUAAAACAUCUUAUAAAGCACGGUGAUGGCCGACAUUUAGGGCAUUUUAAUAUCAGAAUAUAAUUUUGUUGGUUACUGGGAGGAGUUUCUAGACUGCCUUGUUUGUAUUAGACAGAUAAAAGCAGAAUUUAGAAGUUGGAGAAUAGGAAAUUUUUGAGGACUAUAUGUGUAUGCAUAUGUACAGAGAUAGUUCUUAAACAGCCAGGCUUUACUCCAUGUUCAGAUGUUGGGAAUCUACCUAUAUUUUAUUAAUGUAAUGUUAAAGAGGUGUGGGUUUUUGUUAAAGUUUUAAUCAGUGGAAUUGUUGAAUUGCCUCUGAAGAUUAAUUCCUUUUCAGUAGAUAUUGUUACAAUGUUAUAUAUAAUGUAAGUUUUUUUGUUGUUUUUGUUUAACAUCACAUUCUCUACAUAGAUAGGCAUCACUGUAAAUAUGUAUCACCUUAUUAGGAUAGAUAUUUUUAUUUCCCAAAAGUGAUAAUAUAUCUAUCCUCUCUGUGUGUUCAUCAGAUCUCUAGGCUCAAUUUUUAGGUUGUGGUAAAUAUGUAGUGUUCAGUAUAAUACCUCAUUGUUUUACAUAAGAUUCAUCAUGGUGGAAAUGUCAUUGUAACUGUUGGUCUGCCUCUUAUCAUGGUUUUCAGAUGUUUGUAUACAAACAGAAAAUACAGUUACUAGAUAAAUUUUACAUGUGGUUAAACAUAACAGGUUAGAAAAGUUUUCAUGUCAGUGGAAUUUGACAUUUAAUGAUAACUGAAUUGUUCUUGUUUUAAAAUACUUACAUCUAGUUAUAUAGGUGUAGGUGACUAUAAGUUUUUAUGGAGGAUGUUCAAAAUUGUUUGUCAAACCUAUGGUUAUUAAAGAAUGGGCUAAUCCAAGAAAUGUUUUAUAUAAUGUGUAUAUAAUAGACACAGUUACUAUGUUUUCUUAAAGCCAAGGAACUAUUAUAUCAGCAUGUUUUGUAAAUAUAUUAAUUAUAUAUAGAGUGAAAAAUUACCAAAACAGUUGUCGGAUUAUCUCUUAGUAAAUAAUUGGGCUGCUGAAGUUCAGGGUAUUUUGUUAGAUUGUUCUGUGUAAAAGGAGAGAAAGAUUUAUGCGAUCUGAGGAGAAACCAGAUUAGAUUGUUCUGUGUAAAAUAGGAUAUAUAAUAAUGUUUGCUUUAAACUUUUAAUCCUUGAUUUUAUAGGGGUUACUUUCAUGUACACCUGUAUAUAUACAUGCAGGUGUAUUGUAUACAUGUCUAUAAAAUAAGUGUUUAUUAAAGUUCAUAGCAAAGAAACACUGUUGGCAAGUUAAGUAUCACUCAGUUUAGUUUGUUCCUUGUGUCCUUUUGUGGUUCAUGAUACAGGGAGUUUCAGUUUGAGCUUUAGUUGCUGAAGAUAUUGUUAGAUUGCUACUUAAGUUAUAGACCGAUGUUAGUUUUUGUUUCAGAACAUCUGCAUAGGAUUUGCUCAUAGGCACGUAUUUUUUGAAAACCAAUCUGAGAGACAAUGUAAAAGCAUUUUAUUUUGGCAAGCUGAAUCACUAUACCAUGUUUAUAUGGGAUGUAUUUGGUG